UCCGGUUUGGCACCGGCAGUCUCCAAUGAGUCCCCGGCAUUACCCGCUGGCAACAUUGGACAGGGGUUGCGCUCGUUGCGCCACUUAAGGCAACACCUCACGGCACGAGCUGACGACAGCCAUGCAGCACCUGUGCAGGCUCCCGAAGGAGCACCGGCUUUCACCGGUUUCACCCUGCAUGUCAAGCCCUGGUAAGGUGGGGAUGACGUGGGAGAGUACGUCC
rnacentral:misc_RNA from 1 species